GAUGAACGCUGGCGGCGUGCCUAAUACAUGCAAGUCGAGCGAACGGACGAGAAGCUUGCUUCUCUGAUGUUAGCGGCGGACGGGUGAGUAACACGUGGAUAACCUACCUAUAAGACUGGGAUAACUUCGGGAAACCGGAGCUAAUACCGGAUAAUAUUUUGAACCGCAUGGUUCAAAAGUGAAAGACGGUCUUGCUGUCACUUAUAGAUGGAUCCGCGCUGCAUUAGCUAGUUGGUAAGGUAACGGCUUACCAAGGCAACGAUGCAUAGCCGACCUGAGAGGGUGAUCGGCCACACUGGAACUGAGACACGGUCCAGACUCCUACGGGAGGCAGCAGUAGGGAAUCUUCCGCAAUGGGCGAAAGCCUGACGGAGCAACGCCGCGUGAGUGAUGAAGGUCUUCGGAUCGUAAAACUCUGUUAUUAGGGAAGAACAUAUGUGUAAGUAACUGUGCACAUCUUGACGGUACCUAACCAGAAGGCCACGGCUAACUACG
rnacentral:rRNA from 1 species